rnacentral:rRNA from 1 species
UACGGGGGGGGGCAAGCGUUGUUCGGAAUUACUGGGCGUAAAGGGCUCGUAGGCGGCCAACUAAGUCGGAUGUGAAAUCCCCAAGCUUAACUUGGGAACUGCAUCCGAUACUGGAUGGCUUGAAUCCGGGAGAGGGAUGCAGAAUUCCAGGUGUAGCGGUGAAAUGCGCAGAUAUCAGGAGGAACACCGGUGGCGAAGGCGGGUCUCUGGGCAGUAACUGACGCUGAGGAGCGAAAGCGUGGGGAGCGAACAGG